rnacentral:misc_RNA from 1 species
GAACUUUUCGCAUUGCAUCAUGGCGUGGAAUUCAAGUUGCUGUUAAAAGGCUUGGGGAGGAUGUGAUUUCUGAUGAGGAGAAAGUGAAAGCAUUCAGAGAUGAGCUUUCAUUGCUUCAGAAGAUACGACAUCCAAAUGUGGUGCAAUUUCUGGGUGCUGUUACCCAAAGUAGUCCUAUGAUGAUUGUGACAGAAUAUCUACCCAAGGGAGAUCUUUGUGCAUUCUUGAAAAGAAAAAGAGCAUUAAGAACAGCAACAGCUGUGAGGUUUGCACUUGAUAUUGCAAGGGGAUUGAAUUAUUUGCAUGAGAACAAACCACCAAUAAUUCAUCGUGAUCUUGAGCCUUCGUGAGUUUUGUUGGUCAAUUUGGAUUUCUUUUGUCUCAUUUGUGCUUAUGUACAUAUACUGAGGCUACAGUUAAGUUUCAGUAAAAAUUCAUUAGCUUCCUCAAUUUUCUGAAAUUGUCAGCACAUUUUUAUGUUGCUUACGAGCAAGGUAACAGAAACGUAUUACGGGAUGAUUCUGGACAUCUCAAAGUUGCAGAUUUUGGAGUUAGUAAGUUGCUUACAGUUAAAGAAGACAAGCCUCUAACUUGUCAAGACACUUCUUGUCGAUAUGUGGCCCCAGAGGUUUUCAAAAAUGAAGAAUAUGAUACCAAAGUGGAUGUCUUUUCCUUUGCUUUAAUUUUACAGGAGAUGAUUGAAGGCUGUCCCCCAUUUUCUGCAAAGCAAGAACGUGAAGUUCCAAAAUCAUAUGCUGCAAAAGAGCGUCCACCAUUUAGAGCUCCAACAAAGCGCUAUUCCCACGGACUUAAAGAGUUGAUUCAGGAGUGUUGGAAUGAGAAUCCAUCUAAGCGACCAACUUUCAGGCAAAUAAUAACAAAACUGGAGUCAAUUUAUAACAGUAUUGGUCAUAAGAAGCGCUGGAAGGUUAGACCAUUAAAAUGCUUUCAGAAUCUGGAGGCCAUGUUGAAGAAAGAUCUUAGUCUAACUGGCCACAGCCGUUCUUCACGCUCCACCAACAGCAUGUGAAUAGGCAAGGAUUAGUUUUUCUAGUUGGUAACUUUUCUGCAUUCAGAGUUUGUGCCUUUUGUAUGCAAGUAAAAAGGAUUCUUCUAUAGCUCAGUGCGUAGAUUUCUUCUGUGUAAUUCCACCUGUUAUCAAAUUUGAAUUCUUCCAUAUGUUUAACUCUUUCUAUUAGUAAGAUCUGCUGAGUGCUUUUUGUCGCAUCGAUGCUUGUGAGCUAAUUCCAGGUUGUUAAAUAGGUCAUGGAACAUCAUAUUCUUGAAAUGAUGAAUUGGUGAAGAUAUACAGUUUAGUUUAAAUUCUUGAUAUUUUAUGAGACAUACAUUUAAU